rnacentral:rRNA from 1 species
CCUACGGGAGGCAGCAGUGGGGAAUAUUGGGCAAUGGGCGAAAGCCUCACCCAGCAACGCCGCGUGAGGGAAGAUGGUUUUCGGAUUGUAAACCUCUGUCCUUGGGGACGAAUAAAUGACUGUGCCCAAGGAGGAAGCCACGGCUAACUACGUGCCAGCAGCCGCGGUAAUA